GGUGAACGCUGGCGGCGUGCUUAAGACAUGCAAGUCGAACGGCAGUCUUCGGACUGUAGUGGCGCACGGGUGAGUAACGCGUAACUGACCUACCCCAAAGUCGCGGAUAACGAUUCGAAAGAAUCGCUAAUACGUGAUGUGCUGUCAGAUUGUGUUCUGCCAGUAAAGAUUGAUUGCUUUGGGAUGGGGUUGCGUCCCAUCAGCUAGUUGGUGGGGUAAAGGCCCACCAAGGCGACGACGGAUAGCCGGCCUGAGAGGGUGGCCGGCCACAGGGGCACUGGGACACGGGUCCCACUCCUACGGGAGGCAGCAGUUAGGAAUCUUCCACAAUGGGCGAAAGCCUGAUGGAGCGACGCCGCGUGAGGGAUGAAGGUCUUCGGAUCGUAAACCUCUGAAUCAGGGACGAAAGACACUUCGGUGGGAUGACGGUACCUGAGUAAUAGCACCGGCUAACUCCGUGCCAGCCGCCGCAGUAAGAC
rnacentral:rRNA from 1 species